GAGACGCGAUAGUUAAUGUGAAUUGCAGAAUUCAGUGAAUCAUCGAGUCUUUGAACGCACAUUGCGCCCAUAGGUAUUCCUUUGGGCAUGUCUGUUUGAGCGUCAUUACAACCCUCAGCUAACCGCUGGUUUUGAACCUGAACGGGUGACACCGCGCCGGUUUUAAAGUUGUAAGCUCUGCUGGCCGCUCUGCCCAACCAGAACAUAGUAAGCACUACUUGUCCGGGUGAAGCUGAACGGUACGGCCUGAACAAAACCUACCCACUCUCAAGGUUUGACCUCAGAUCAGACAAGGAAACCCGCUGAACUUAAGC
rnacentral:misc_RNA from 1 species